rnacentral:rRNA from 1 species
UACGGAGGGAGCUAGCGUUGUUCGGAAUUACUGGGCGUAAAGCGCGCGUAGGCGGCUUUGUAAGUUAGAGGUGAAAGCCUGGAGCUCAACUUCAGAAUUGCCUUUAAGACUGCAUCGCUUGAAUCCGGGAGAGGUGAGUGGAAUUCCCGGUGUAGUGGUGGAAUGCGUAGAUAUCGGGAGGAACACCAGUGGCGAAGGCGGUUGCCUGGGGCUUGCUGACGCUGAUGCGCGAAAGCGUGGGGAGCGAUCCGG